UACGUAGGCAGCGAGCGUUGUUCGGAUUUACUGGGCGUAAAGCGCGUGUAGGCGGCUUGGCAAGUUGAAUGUGAAAGCCCACGGCUCAACCGUGGAAGCGCAUCCAAAACUGCUUCGCUGGAGUCUCGGAGAGGAAGGUGGAAUGCUUGGUGUAGAGGUGAAAUUCGUAGAUAUCAAGCAGAACACCUGCGGCGAAGGCGGCCUUCUGGACGAUGACUGACGCUGAGACGCGAAAGCGUGGGGAGCAAACAGG
rnacentral:rRNA from 1 species